rnacentral:rRNA from 2 species
GCAACGCCGCGUGAGGGAUGGCUGCCUUCGGGUUGUAAACCUCUUUCAGCGGGGACGAAGCGAAAGUGACGGUACCCGCAGAAGAAGCACCGGCCAACUACGUGCCAGCAGCCGCGGUAAUACGUAGGGUGCGAGCGUUGUCCGGAAUUAUUGGGCGUAAAGGGCUCGUAGGCGGUUUGUCACGUCGGGAGUGAAAACUCAGGGCUCAACCCUGAGCCUGCUUCCGAUACGGGCAGACUAGAGGUAUGCAGGGGAGAACGGAAUUCCUGGUGUAGCGGUGAAAUGCGCAGAUAUCAGGAGGAACACCGGUGGCGAAGGCGGUUCUCUGGGCAUUACCUGACGCUGAGGAGCGAAAGUGUGGGGAGCGAACAGGAUUAGAUACCCUGGUAGUCCACACCGUAAACGUUGGGCGCUAGGUGUGGGACUCAUUCCACGAGUUCCGUGCCGCAGCUAACGCAUUAAGCGCCCCGCCUGGGGAGUACGGCCGCAAGGCUAAAACUCAAAGGAAUUGACGGGGGCCCGCACAAGCGGCGGAGCAUGCGGAUUAAUUCGAUGCAACGCGAAGAACCUUACCUAGGUUUGACAUAUACGAGAAGCCUCUAGAGAUAGAGGUCUCUUUGGACA